rnacentral:rRNA from 1 species
AUGCCCUCAGUAACGGCGAGUGAAGCGGCAACAGCUCAAAUUUGAAAUCUGGCCUCUUUGGGGUCCGAGUUGUAAUUUGUAGAGGAUGUUUCGGGUACCGCCUCGGUCUAAAUUUCUUGGAACAGAAUGUCAAAGAGGGUGAGAAUCCCGUCUUGGACCGGCGGUAGGGCCCAUGUGAAACUCCUUCGACGAGUCGAGUUGUUUGGGAAUGCAGCUCAAAAUGGGUGGUAAAUUUCAUCUAAAGCUAAAUAUUGGCCAGAGACCGAUAGCGCACAAGUAGAGUGAUCGAAAGAUGAAAAGCACUUUGAAAAGAGAGUUAAACAGUAUGUGAAAUUGUUGAAAGGGAAGCGCUUGCAACCAGACUUGAGCGCGGCGGUUCCCCCUUCCUUUUGGUUGGGUUAUUCCGUCGUGUCCAGGCCAACAUCGGUUCUGGGGGUCGGUUAAAGGCUCGAGGAAUGUACCUACUCCUUCGGGGGUAGACUUAUAGCCUCGGGUGUCAUGCGACCUCCCGGGACCGAGGAACGCGCUUCGGCUCGGAUGUUGGCGUAAUGGUUGUCAGCGACCCGUCUUUA